AGGAGAGGCAAAGUGAAUCCCACUAAAGGGAAGAACAGUCUGAAGAUGGUGUCUUCACUGAAGAGUAGUUACUUUAAAUGUGGAAAUUUAUAUCUUCCAAGAGAGAGGACAGUCUUCGUGAUCUCUGCAGGCUGCUGAACGGUUCUGAGUGCAUCAUACAAGAAACUCCAAAGAAAACAACUCAAUCCUGGAUGAAAUUAGGACAUUUAGGCACUGAGCAGAAGCUCCCUGCAUCUCAGGAGAGGUCCACUGAGGAGUAGGCUGUCCCUCUGCAGUCCAUGGGCACCACAGGAAGCAAAUCUCCAUGUGCAGCCGUGGAGAUCAAGGUGUAGCAGCAGAUGUGUCCUGGAGGAUGACGCAGACUGUGGAGAGCCCCUACAGGAGUGGAUCCUGGGCUGGAGUUGCAACCUGUGGAAAGGAGCCCAAGCUGGAGCAGAUUUCCUAAUGGGAACUAGGGCCCAAUAGAGUAUCAACAUAGGAGCAAACUGUUCCUGAAAGACUGCACAUUGUGUUGGAAUUGAAGCCCAAUAUGGGAAGGAUGCUUAUUAUAUCAGGUCAGUACUGACAUAGGUACCUCCAUGCUGGGGCUCCGGAUGAGCAUAAAGAGGAACAGGAGGCAGCAAAGCUGUUAUGAACUGGCCACAGUUCUGGUUCCCCAUCUCUUUUUACAACUCAGGGCAAGUGGAGGUAGAAGAAUCAAGACUGAAGAUGAGUUAUUUUACCAAUUAGUUUGCUCAUUAUGGUAAAUAUGACCCCUUAUCUUUAUCUGAACCCACAUUUCAGUUCAGUUUUUUUCGUUAUGUUUCCUUCCCCUUCUUUGUGGUCUUGUGAGUGAAAGAGCAGUGUAGUGGGCAUGUGAUGACAAGCUAAGUUGAAACCACCCUGGUCAUAAAAUGAGCAGGAUGUUGUGUCAGAAGAUUUCUUUCAUGAGUUUGUCUACAAUGUGCAGUA